UUUCUCUUCCCCUUCACCGAAAUAUGCAGCAAAGAAAGGGUUUUGAAGAUGGAAAAUUUCAGCAACAUAUUUCCCUUGCUUGUAAGUGAUUUUAAUGUCUUUGCCUAAUGAUUUUUGUAUUUUUGGAACCCCUAAAGCAUAAGCUUUCAUAAGAGGGGAUUAUUUUGCAAAAUGAUGAAGAGUCUAGGGUUUUACCAUGAGAGUAAAUGUGUUGUUUGCUGUGUUUUUAUGGAAGAUUAUGAGUCCUAGUUGUCUAAUAAACAACUUUUGUGAAAGAAAUUGCAUGAAAAUACCUUAAAAAGGGCUAAAUUGUUAAGUUGUAAAAUGAGUUGUAAAUGUAUAAAAUAGUUGAAAUUAUGAGUUGCUAUAGUUAUGAAAAUGGUUCAUCUAGACUCAAGGAAUAAAUAAAUGUGAUAAAAAAUUAAUUUACGAGUAUUGGGGCAAAAGUGCAAAUAUGCAAAAGUUUAGGGGUCAAAAUGAAAAUUUGUAAAAAUAUGAUUUUUAGACCCAUUUUAAUAUUGUGACUGAUUGGUAGGCUAAAUGUGAUGUUAUAGAUGAUGAAAAUUGAGACUUGGACCUAAAGCAGAAAGAAAUCGAUUUAUGGACGAGUAUGUCCUUUUCACCUUUGUGGUAUCGAGGUAAGUUCGUAUGUAAACAAUACCAUGCUAUACAUGUAUUUAAAUGUUAUCAUUACAUGAAUUGUACAGAUAUUAAUGUGUAUGUGAUUAAUAGAAAUAUGAUAAGACAAAGCCUUAAUAGACGAGGAAAAAUCCCGUUUGAACCUUAGGAAUAGAAUAGGAUACGAGUGACAUGUCACUAGGAAUUAUGAGUCUAGAUGACUAGCUCGAGAGUGAGCAUUGAAAUGUCAUGAGAUAUGAGGUAGCUUUAGCUACAAUUGAGGCACUUAUGUGCAAAGUCUUUUCUGAGUAUCCAAUUAGUAUUCCAAGUGUUCAACGGGCAAUCCAAGGAAAGAGUUGAUGAUGGUCCCAAUGAGGUAAGUCAUUGGUGAGUAUGCACUCGAGUUAUGUUACGAGUUGUGCAAGUAUGUAUACUAAUCCUAUGAGAAAGCCUUGAUAUGUGAUGAUCUAUGAUGCAUAAUAUGUGUUCUUACCAUGAUGGAUAAAAUGGUGUUGUAUUAAUAUUAUGAACAAUGACCAUGAAUGAGUAACUUAGCCUUGACAGAUUUGAGUUACUGCAGUAGUGUAACUUUGAAAAUACACUAAAAAUAGUGUAAAAUGAGUUAGAGGCAGAACAAAAUAUCGGAUUAAAGAUUAAUGAGUCUAUUUUCACAUGAAAGAAAUAGAGGAAGAAAAAUAAUUCUAUAUUGUGUGAUAUUUAAAUUCAUGUGAAACAGGGUCUGAAUGAAUUUGAGAUCCCCUAUUCUGAUUUUAUAAAUUCACCGUAAACUGUACAAAAAUUAUUAAGAGUCAUACCUUACCUGUAUAGAUUCCUUAUUAAGUCUAUUUUUAAGCGAAAUAAACGGCAUGGUCAUUGGAAUUCUUUACAUAGAGAAAUUCGAUUCGUAGUGCACAGGGGUCAGAGUAGUCAUACCAUGAAACAGGGGAAACUUUAACUAAUAAAAUGUACUAAAUGGCUUGACCAAAAACUCUAGAAAAAAAUUAGUUAGUAGACAUAUGAGUCUAGUUUCAAGAGAAAUAGACGAAAACAUUAUUCGAAUCCUGUACUAUGAGAUAAUUGAACUUUAGUGCAAAAGGGUUGAAACUGUCAGAUAGUGAAUCAGGAGCAAACUUGAGAAAUAAAUUGUACUAAUUGGCCAAGUCAAAAAUUCUGGAAAUUUUAUGAAAUAAAUAAAAAUGAGUCUAGUUUCAGGUAAAAUUAACAAAACUUAAUUUGGAGUUUCGUAGCUCCAGAUAUAAAUAAUUUAGUGACUGUUGCUCAGGAAGACAGCUUGUAGUGAACUUGAGAAUAUGUUGUAAACAUUGAUAAAACAAGUUAAUGAGUUGCUUAUUGUUUUCAUAUGAACUUACUAAGCGAAAGCUUACCCCCUUUCUUUCCCAUGUUUUCUAGAGUUUCCAGGUUAGCUCGGGUUGGAGGCCGUCAGAGAUAUUAUCACCCUAUCGAGUUAACGUUAUCGGAGUAAGUAAACUCAAGUGAUUCGAGUCUAUGGCAUGUAUAGGGUUUUAAUGUGAGUAUGUAAUAUUAUGAUUUAGCCAAAGGCAUUGGCUUGUUAUUAAGGUAGUAUUAGUCAUGUAAAUUGGCCUAUGUCGGCUAAUGACGUUAUGGGCCCAUAUGAUUAUUCUUAUGCAUGUAUGUUAUUAUCUCUUGUGAUGUGGCUUACAACAUGUAUGCCUAGAGAUUGAAUUGAGAUUCAUUGAUGAGCUAGUAACUAAUGCAGGAUUAAGUGAUUGGUAAAUAGUUAAUAAUUCUUCAUGUGUAACGCCCCGUACCCAAGACCGUUGCCGGAGUCGAACACGAGGUGUUAACGGGCUUAAUUCAUUACUUAAACAGCUCAUACAAUUCAUUUUAAAAUUUCCAGACAAGCUGACUAACUGCAUCAUAGUCGCUUUAAAAAUCAUAUCUCGAGUUCCGAAACUCGAAAUCCAAUUCUGUAAAUUUUUCCUGAAACUAGACUCAUAUAUCUAUCUAUUAAUUGUUUUCUAGAAUUUUUGGUUGGGCCAAUUAGUAAAUUUUAUUAGUUAAAGUCUCCCCUGUUUCAGGGUUCGACUACUCUGACCUCUGUGUAUUUCGAAUCAGAUAUCUCCCUGUACAGAGCUUCAAUGACUAUUCCAUUUGUCUCUAAUAAAAAUAGACUCAAUAAUGAAUCUCUACAUAUAAAGCAUGACUUCUAAUUAUCUUUGUAAAAUUUAUGGUGAAUUUCCAAAGUCAGAACAGGGGAUCCAGAAACUGCUCUGGCCCUGUUUCACAAAAAUUUAAACAUCUCAUAAAAUAUAGCUCAUAUACCUAUUUCACUUCUUCCAUAUGAAAAUAGACUCGUCAAGCUUCGAUUCCAUAACUUAUUCAUUAUUUAAUUCCAUUUAUACCAUUUUUAGUGAUUUUUCAAAUUCAUAUCAUUGCUGCAGCAAUAUUCUGUUUUAAGGCAAAUUUCAUCUUUUCAUGAGUUGUUAUAAACUAGAUAACCUAUUAAACUUCCAUGAUAUCAAACAUGAUCUAAAUUUAACCAUCACCAUGACUUAUCAAUAUCAAACAUUUUCUCAACCAAUCAUGGCCAUAUCAUAAAAUUAUUUACACAAAAUAAAUAUAUUGCUAUACAUGCCAUACUUAAGUUUUACAAGCCAUUUACCCAGAUGAAAGUCCUUUGGAUAGUGUGAUCGAACCUUCGACCCGUCCCGAUUCCCGUGCUGGCUUGUUCAAAACUACAAGGAAUGAAAAGGAGGGAGUAAGCAUAAAUCCUUAGUAAGUUCACAUGCAAAUAGCAAGUAACAUAACUAUAUAAGCAAACAUAAAACAUCAUUUGCAUAAUCAUCACCGAGACAUUCAUAUCACAUUUUCAUUUAUCAUCUUACCAUAUUGUUGUUAUAUUGAGUUUUCAACCCGAGGGUUAAGUACAUACCUGUUCAAAGUAUUCAUUUCACAACACUUACCAAUACGUCCCUUUCAUCUUGAUUAUUCCUCCAUUUCAGUAGAACUUUACCCGUUGAACACAUCGGAAUAUAAUUAGGAUACAUGGAAAGUUUGCACAUAAGUGCCACAUAUGUAGCCAAGCUACCAUGUAACCCGCCCAUAAGCGAACUCGGACUCAACUCAACGAGCUCGGGUGUUCGCAUCCAUAAGUGAACUCGGACUCAACUCAACGAGCUCGGAUGCCUAGUUACAUCUCUCGAACUCGGACUCAACUCAACAAGUUCGGACAUUCGCAUCCAUAAGUGAACUCGGACUCAACUCAACGAGUUCGGAUGCCCAAACAUCCUAGUGACAUGUCACUUGUAUCCUAACCCAUUCCUAAGGUUCAACGGGACCUUUUUCCCAAUCAUGUGUCUCAACCAUCUCCUACGGAAUGUCGAUACCGAUACUCGGUAGUAUUUCACAUUUUAUUUUCCAAGUAUAUCACAUAAUUUGACAUAUUAUCAAACAAUUGUCACAAGUAUGAUAUUUCAUAAUAAUUAUCAUAUCAUUUAAAUAACAUAAAAACAUUUAAAAUAAUAACUAUGUUACCAACAUUUACAUAUGAACUUACCUCGUAUGCGAAAAUGGCUACUUUUACCAUUUCGUCCACAACUUGGUAUUUUCCCCAUUUUAGCUCGAAUUUCAGUUUUCCUUACUAAUCGAGCUUGGAAGCUUGAAAAACCCUAGCCAUAGUUUCUCCUUGCUACAUUCGGCCAUGGGGUUGAAGAUGAGCAAAAUUGGCUUUUAAUUUUGUAUUUUAAUUCAUUUUACCCCUAAAUGACCAAAAUGCCCUUACUACUAAACUUUCUAAAAAUUCCAUCCAUGUCCAAUUUUUGUCCAUAGACUUAGAAAUUGGUAAAAUUUCUAUUUAAGACCUCCUAAUUAAUAUUUCAAAACAAUUUCAUACUAGAAACUUCUAGAAUGCAAGUUUUGAAAAUUAUUCGAUUUAGUCCCUAAUUUCAAUUUAAGCACUUUAUGCAUAAAAUUUCUUCACUAAAUUUUCACACAAUCAUGCAAUCAUAUCAUAGACCUUAAAAUAAUCAUAAAAUAAUUAUUUCUAUCUCAAAUUUUGUGGUCACGAAACUACUAUUCCGACUAGGCCCAAAAUCAGGAUAUUACAUCAUGAAUGGUUUGUGAUGUAAUGAUAGUUAUGUCUAGUAUGUGGUAAUGAUAUGGGAAAAUUCUAUAAUAUUUAUUGCAUAAGAAAAUAACUUGAGCAGAACAUGUUUAUAGAUGUUUAAGAGCUCAUUUAUGCCACGUUGUAUGUUAUUGGAUAAGUAUGUAUCUAUGCAUGUGGUGUGAGAGUGACAAAAGGCUUGAUAAUUAGCCUAUUUCUGGCCACACGGCCUGAGCACAUGGGCGUGUGAAGCCUUAACGCAAGAGAUUUUUCUAAGUUUUUCAUGAGUUCUCGAUUGGGUCCCGAACCGCCCCGAAUGCAUGUAUUGGGCCUCGUAAGCUCGCAUAAGGGACAGAUUGCAUGUGAAAAGAAAAGUUUUUAAUUAUUUGAGAUUUCAUGGCCCUGUUUAGUAUGAAAGUGUUAGUAAAAGUCAGGUAGCACCUCGAACCCCGUCCCGGCGUCGGAUGCGGACGAGGGGUGUUACAUUUAGUGGUAUCAGAGCAUGGUUUAGUCAGUUUUCGAACUAACCUAGCGUAAAAGAGUCUAGCUAUACAUGCCAUAGUGUUACUCGUGAUAGUGUGAUAUCUCUCGGCCCUAACAAAACUGUUGAUUAAGACAAGAAUGAGUUCCAACCGAGCAAAUCUUGAUAGAGAUAAGAAUAAAGUUGAGAUUAUUGAAUCAUGCUUAUGAUAUGCUGAAAAUUGGGAAAGGUAUGAAAAGAAAUCCAUGAUUUUUUUUAUAUGAACUAGUUUUUAUUAUGUGAUACUCUUGAGAUAAAGAAUGUGAAAUAGUGGAGUAAAACACAGUUAAGUUGUGAAAAAACGCUUUUAUGCAUGUUAGUAUCCAUACGAUGUUAAAUGUCCAACUUGAUUUGGCCAAGUGUUUAGGAAAAGAAAGAAAUUUGCUUGAAAUGACAGAAUGUAUGUAUGAAUGCUUUUAUUGCAUGAUUAAUAAUCAGUAUAUACAUGAGGUUGACAUUUAUGUCUAGAUUGAUGAAGUCAAGAUGCAGUAAUGUUAUGCUGUAUAAUCUCAGUUACAGAAUCAUAAAUGUCACAAUAGCAUAAAAGUUGUAAUGAAAGAUCAAAUUGGGUGGAACGCAGGGAAUGAGUACGAUCGUUCACUAAUGAAUUAAUGGAAAAUACCAUGGUUGGACCAUGGAAAUACAUGAGAUUUGUGUGCUAGUGUAAGACCAUAUAUGGGACAUGGCAUCGGCAUUGAGACGAGUGCUAGUGUAAGACAUGUCUGGGACAUGCAUCAGCCACAGUAUGAGAGCCAGUGUAAGACAUGUCUGGGAUAUGCAUUGGCCUCGAGAUGUUAGCCAAUGUCAGACAUGUCUGGGACAUGCGUCGGCUAUGAGAUGUGCUAGUGUAAGACAUGUAUGGGACAUGUGUCAGCACGGUUACAUGUGUCAGUGUAAGACCUGCCUGGGACACGGCAUCGACACAGAUGGAUGAGAGCUAGUACAAGACCAUAGUUGAACUAUGGCAUCAAGUAAGCGAUGUACUCAAAACCAUAAGACGUUCUCCAAUUUGAUAAAUAUUUGCAAGUGAUUAAGACUAAAUAUGGGAAUUUGAUAAAACAUUAAGGGUAAUUUGAGAAAAAAAAUGAAAGUUUGAGUUAUGAUAAAUUCACUUAUGUUUAGCUAAUAUUCGCACGAAAUAAAGUUGCAUGUAUUACUGAGAUAUGUGAAAAUGUGUUCAUAACAAGUUGGAAAUUUGAAAUGUUUGAAUCGAUGUGUGUAAUGCUAUGUUGUUGUUGAAUAUGUAUUUGCUUGAGAGUCAAAAGUUUAGAGGCUUUACAAUCUUCGCCCCCUUACCAGAAUAGAGUUAUACGAUGAGAUUUUCGAGAGAUAUGUUGCAUAAGCUUGCAAAAGUGAAACUGAAGAGUACAAUAAUGGAAUAGUAUGAGAUUAGUGAAGACAAAAUUAGUUAGAGGAAUAAUGUCAGACUUGCACAGAUGUCUGAAUAUGACGGAUUCAAUUAAAUAAAGUGGUGGCUAUCUUUCUCUUCUGAGUAUUCUAUGUUUUCCUCUAUUCUGGGGAAUACGUAUGGUUAUCCCUUUCGAAUGGAAAUUCUAUCGUAUGAGGAUGCUAGUGACUGUGAUAUUAGAUGAAAAGUUCUAUUGGUCCAGUUAGUUAUGAUCGACAUUUCCCCAUCUCUUCAGAUUUCUAUUCUGAUAUACUGGAAUGAAGUUGAUAGUAAAAAUCUAUAUGAGAUUAUUCUGAUGUUCUAUUGAUUAUGGUUUAUAUAUAUUGGAGAAUUAUAUUAUCUCUGUUACGAGAAAUUCUAGAGCGUACAGACAAUAGUUUCCUUCUGGUUUUCUCUGAGGGAUUUUCCGGAUCAUAUUUAUUAUUUUCUUCUGGAUUAUAUUCUCGGAUUUCUGGUGUAGUCUUUAUAUCUUGGAAUUUCUUAUAUUGGCUUUUCUCUCGUUCUUGUUUCGAGAAUUAUCAAGCUUGGCUUAUCUUUACGAGUAAUCUUUGACUUGCGAUAUUAGAAUCUGUUAUGAUUAAGCUUCUGGCUCGACCAUAGAAGUGUGGGGAUUUCAGUGUCGAGAUUUCUUUAUAAUUCCUGGGGUAAAGAAUGGUUAUUCUGCAAAAGUAAAUCUGAGUUAUGUGCAUUUAAGUUUAUUCUCUGGUUCGAGAAUACCGUUACGUGUUCUUUGGUAAGUAGUCGUAUAGUCAGAAAUGAUGGGGUUUUAUUCUUGAAAGUAUGUUAUGGAAACAUAUUAGUUGGAUUUCUCUUGUUCGAGAGAUGUUAUAAGUAUAGUUAUCCUGAUUAAUAAAAAGACCACAUCUAUGAAGUUGGAAUCAUUUGAUUCAUGUUAGUAAAGUUUCUAAACAGUUGAUGAUCAGAGUAUAGAAAUGUGGCUAUAAGUGGUAAAUUAAACAAGUACAACAUGAUUCGACUUUUAAUUUGGAAUUGCAGGGAGGAUUUGAUUUCUGGUUUUUAUUACUAUUAAUUCAGAGUAAGAUUUCAGUACUGAGAAACUUUGGGUAUACAGAGAAUUGAGUACAGAGUUCACAGCAGUAUCUUGUCUAUUCGUUCAAAGGAUGUCGAAUUAUCUAUAGGGUAAAGCCGAAUAUCAAAUGUAUUCGAGAUUAUUAUUGUCAGUGAUGACAGUGGGAAGAAAAUGAGAAAGGACUGUUAUGAAUUUCGUAUCGGGAUGUCUCUCAUUUCCAGGAAAAAGAAGAGAUGCAAGUUGAAUUGUGAAAGAUUGAUGAUGGAAGUCUGCAUGAUUAUUUUAGUAUGUACAGAUAUAUUAUUCAACAGAUGUGACUGAGUUGUAUGUUUCUGAGUUUAUAGUUCCAAGAAUGUCAGUCUCCAGUGUUUCAAAUUGAGCUCCGAGGUUUAUACCUUAACUAUGGAAAAGCUAUAGGAAAUCUUGAGUAAGAGCUUGUGCGGAGUUGUUUUGUAAGUUGCGAGAAAAAGAUAUAAGUGACUCGUGAAAGUAGAGAACAACUUUUUCUGGUAAGAUUUUCGGGGACGAAAAUCCCUAAAGGGGGGAAGAAAUGUAACAGCCCGAUUUUAGGCCUAGUCAGAACAGUGGUUUCGGGCACUAUUUUGAGGCCAGAGAAAAUUAUUUUAGUAUUAUUUUAUGUGUUAUAAUAUGAUUUUAUAAGUGCAUGUUAAUUUUGGUAUAUUAAUUUUAGCGAUUUCUAGUCCAAUUUCAAAAAAGGACUAAAUCGCGUAAAAAGUAAAAGUUGUGUUUUAAUACUUAAAGGUGUUAAAUUGCCUUGUACCUUAAAUUGGGGGUCUUUAAAGUGAAAUUAGGCCAUUGAAAGUGUGAUGGCCGGCCAUGGGAGACAAAAUAGUUGAAAAGUCAAAAUUAGACAAAAUAGUUUUAUUAUUAACAAAUAAAAAAAAAGAAAAAGAAAAAGCUAUCAUUUUUCUCUUCCCCUUCACCGAAAUAUGCAGCAAAGAAAGGAUUUUGAAGCUGGAAAAUUUCUGCAACAUAUUUCCCUUGCUUGUAAGGGAUUUUAAUGUCUUUGCUUGAUGAUUUUUGUAUUUUUGGAACCCCUAAAGCAUAAGCUUUCAUAAGAGGGGAUUAUUUUGCAAAAUGAUGAAGAGUCUAGGGUUUUACCAUGAGAGUAAAUAUGUUGUUUGCUGUGUUUUUAUGGAAUAUUAUGAGUCCUAGUUGUCUAAUAAACAACUUUUGUGAAAGAAAUUGCAUGAAAAUACCUUAAAAAUGGCUAAAUUGCUAAGUUGUAAAUGUGUAAAAUAGUUGAAAUUAUGAGUUGCUAUAGUUAUGAAAAUGGUUCACCUAGACUCAAGGAGUAAAGAAAUGUGAUAAAAAAUUAAUUUACGAGUAUUGGGGCAAAAGUGCAAAUAUGCAAAAGUUUAGGGGUCAAAAUGAAAAUUUGUAAAAAUAUGAUUUUUAGACCCAUAUGAAUAUUGUGACUGAUUGGUAGGCUAAAUGUGAUGUUAUAGAUGAUGAAAAUUGAGACUUGGACCUAGAACAGAAAGAAAUUGAUUUAUGGACGAGUAUGUCCUUUUCACCUUUGUGGUAUCGAGGUAAGUUCGUAUGUAAACAAUACUAUGCUAUACAUGUAUUUAAAUGUUAUUUUUACAUGAAUUGUACAGAUAUUAAUGUGUAUGUGAUUAAUAGAAAUAUGAUAAGACAAAGCCUUAAUAGACGAGGAAAAAUCCUGUUUGAACCUUAGGAAUAUAAUAGGAUACGAGUGACAUGUCACUAGGAAUUAUGAGUCUAGAUGACUAGCUCAAGAGUGAGCAUUGAAAUGUCAUGAGAUAUGAGGUAGCUUUAGCUACAAUUGAGGCACUUAUGUGCAAAGGCUUUUCCGAGUAUCCAAUUAGUAUUCCAAGUGUUCAACGGGCAAUCCAAGGAAAGAGUUGAUGAUGGUCCCAAUGAGGUAAGUCAUUGGUGAGUAUGCACUCGAGUUAUGUUACGAGUUGUGCAAGUAUGUAUACUAAUCCUAUGAGAAAGCCUUGAUAUGUGAUGAUCUAUGAUGCAUAAUAUGUGUUCUUACCAUGAUGGAUAAAAUGGUGUUGUAUUAAUAUUAUGAACAAUGACCAUGAAUGAGUAACUUAGCCUUGACAGAUUUGAGUUACUGCAGUAGUGUAACUUUGAAAAUACACUAAAAAUAGUGUAAAAUGAGUUAGAGGCAGAAUAAAAUAUGGGAUUAAAUCUUAAUGAGUCUAUUUUCACAUAAAAGAAAUAGAGGAAGAAAAAUAAUUCUAUAUUGUGUGAUAUUUAAAUUCAUGUGAAACAUGGUCUGAAUGAAUUUGAGAUCCCCUGUUCUGAUUUUAUAAAUUCACUGUAAAUUGUACAAAAAUUAUUAAGAGUCAUAACUUACCUUCAUAGAUUCCUUAUUGAGUCUAUUUUUAAGGGAAACAAACGUCAUGGUCAUUGGAAUUCUUUACAUGGAGAAAUUCGAUUCGUAGUGCAUAGGGGUCAGAAUAGUCAUACCCUGAAACAGGGGAAAGUUUAACUAAUAAAAUGUACUAAAUGGCUUGACCAAAACUUCUAGAAAAAAAUUAGUUAGUAGACAUAUGAGUCUAGUUUCAAGAUAAAUAGACGAGAACAUUAUUCGAAUCCUGUACUAUGAGAUAAUUGAACUUUAGUGCAAAAGGAUUGAAACUGUCAGACAGUGAAUCAGGAGCAAAUUUGAGGAAUAAACUGUACUAAUUGGAUAAGUCAAAAAUUCUGGAAAUUUUAUGAAAGAAAGAUAAAUGAGUCUAGUUUCAGGUAAAAUUAAUGGAACUUAAUUUUGAGUUUCAUAUCUCCAGAUAUAAAUAAUUUAGUGACUUUUGCUCAGGAAGACAGCUUGUAGUGAACUUGAGAAUAUGUUGUAAACAUUGAUAAAACAAGUUAAUUAGUUGCUUAUUGUUUUCAUAUGAACUUACUAAGCGAAAGCUUACCCCCCUUCUUUCCCAUGUUUUCUAGAGUUUCCAGGUUAGCUCAGGUUGGAGGCCGUCAGAGAUAUUAUCACCCUAUCGAGUUAACGUUAUCGGAGUAAGUAAACUCAAGUGAUUCGAGUCUAUGGCAUGUAUAGGGUUUUAAUGUGAGUAUGUAAUAUUAUGAUUUAGCCAAAGGCAUUGGCUUGUUAUUAAGGUAGUAUUAGUCAUGUAAAUUGGCCUAUGUCGGCUAAUGACGUUAUGGGCCCAUAUGAUUAUUCUUAUGCAUGUAUGUUAUUAUCUCUUGUGAUGUGGCUUACAACAUGUAUGCCUAGAGAUUGAAUUGAGAUUCAUUGAUGAGCUAGUAACUAAUGCAGGAUUAAGUGAUUGGUAAAUAGUUAAUAAUGCUUCAUGAAUGGUUUGUGAUGUAAUGAUAGUUAUGUCUAGUAUGUGGUAAUGAUAUGGG
rnacentral:lncRNA from 1 species